AGUGAACGCUGGCGGUAGGCCUAACACAUGCAAGUCGAACGGCAGCACAGUAAGAGCUUGCUCUUACGGGUGGCGAGUGGCGGACGGGUGAAGAAUACAUCGGAAUCUACUUUUUCGUGGGGGAUAACGAAGGGAAACUUACGCUAAUACCGCAUACGACCUACGGGUGAAAGCAGGGGAUCUUCGGACCUUGCGCGAUUGAAUGAGCCGAUGUCGGAUUAGCUAGUUGGCGGGGUAAAGGCCCACCAAGGCGACGAUCCGUAGCUGGUCUGAGAGGAUGAUCAGCCACACUGGAACUGAGACACGGUCCAGACUCCUACGGGAGGCAGCAGUGGGGAAUAUUGGACAAUGGGCGCAAGCCUGAUCCAGCCAUACCGCGUGGGUGAAGAAGGCCUUCGGGUUGUAAAGCCCUUUUGUUGGGAAAGAAAAGCAGCAGGUUAAUACCCCGCUGUUCUGACGGUACCCAAAGAAUAAGCACCGGCUAACUUCGUG
rnacentral:rRNA from 1 species